UCAUGCUGAGAGGAAGCAAAGGGACGAGAGAGGCACACUUUGCUUGCAAGCCUGAGAAUGUUUAUUCCUUAACCGCCCUCAGCGCAAAGCAAAACAAAUGGUGACGGGACAAAGGAAUGCAUUAGAUUAAGUAGGGGGGGGGCAGACAGGGGUGGAAACCUGCCUCGCCCUAUGGGGACACACGACAGGGGAGUGACAUGGAUCAUAACAACCUAUGGCAACAUAACAGAGCAUAUUUGCAGUCAUCACCUGUCCAGGUGUCUUGAUAUCAGGGGUGUCCACAGAGAAGGUACUGUGACCCUCCUCUAGAGCUGACUGAAGAUUAAUGCUUCAGCUGUACUGGUGCAGGACUGAAAAUAAUGUGACUCCGUGCUGGGCCUCCACCCCCAGGAAAAGAGUAUGCAAGUGAAGAUUAGCAGUGGAAAAAAAAGGAUGCAUUUUAAUCUCUGA